ACGACUCUCUUUAUAUGCAGUAA
rnacentral:siRNA from 1 species